CUCCCGAUCCCUCCUCUUGUCUAUUGUUUUUACGAAAAAUCCCUCUUCCUUCGGGGCGAUAAUCCUAAAUUUCGUUCAAAUUCUCUAGCGAGUUGCUUCUCAUCCGUUCAAUCUAUCACCUGAGAAAUCAGCUUUUUCCCUCACUUUCUGGCAUCUCAUCAUAAUUCUCGAGGUUUAAUCAAUCCAUCUACGACAGAAUCAUGAAUCCUGAAUACGAUUAUUUGUUCAAGCUUUUGCUAAUUGGGGAUUCGGGAGUCGGCAAAUCUUGUCUACU
rnacentral:misc_RNA from 1 species